UACAGAGGUCUCAAGCGUUGUUCGGAUUCAUUGGGCGUAAAGGGUGCGUAGGCGGCGCGGUAAGCCGGGUGUGAAAUCUUGGAGCUUAACUCCGAAACUGCAUUCGAUACUGCCGUGCUUGAGGACUGGAGAGGAGACUGGAAUUUACGGUGUAGCGGUGAAAUGCGUAGAUAUCGUAAGGAAGACCAGUGGCGAAGGCGGGUCUCUGGACAGUUCCUGACGCUGGAGGCACGAAGGCCCAGGGGAGCAAAACGGG
rnacentral:rRNA from 1 species